UUACGAUUGAGCUAUUUUAAUACAAAUGCCAGAGGAAAAGCUUUAGUUUGCAAAAUAAAACUGAGCUCUGAGACAUAAUGAGACAGGGACAGACGCAGACAACACAGCUCAGAAUCUUCUCAUGAGAAGGUGCGUGAGCAUUCAAGCAACUCAACUGACAAACAUCAAUGCUCCUGACCACGGCCCGGGCACUGAACCUGUUUUUCUAGAAGAAACACGGGAGGAGACGUGAGACCCAGAGCUCUUUGGAAAAUGAGACAAGAGCUCUGUUUUCCAUCAAUGUGAUGGCACAGAAGAGAAGGAGAGGAGGUUUUGGGUACCAGAGACAGACAGACAUUCUAAAGUUGGAGUGAAGGAGUCAAGAAGCAACUCCCGCUCAUACUUACCUGCAAAUCACACAUGCGCAUGUACAUACACCCACACACCUGUGUGCAUUCAAACGCACAUGUAUACACACACACAUGUAAUUAGAAAAAGGAGUUGCAAGCUCACUCCCAGGGUUGAAGAAUGAACCAAUGUAACAGUGUCUAUGACAGCCACGUUGGUGAAGAGGCACACUCUCUGCUGAGUGGCCUCUCUUAAUCCUCCCAAGAGCUCUAAAGGAAGGAGGAGCUUUUAUUGUUCUGUUUAGAGGGGAGUGAUCUAAAUGGUUGGCAGUGGGCUGGUUAAAUAAUUUAUUCAAGGCCAUUCAGUUAAUGAAGGUGACAGCUAGGUUCACUCUGCUGUAGCUCUUUUGCCAGGGCAACAGGGCAAGUCCUGAGGAAUAAACUCUGGAAUCCAACCUCAGCUGUUUUCUCCUGAUACACAUCUUAGUGAACCUUUCCUAUGAGCAAGGCAUUCUUUAGGAGAGUCAGGGAACUUAAAAGAACUUAGAACUAUCCUACCAAACAGGAUUAGAAAGGAGAAAAAAAGGCAACAUAAGGAAAAUGAUGCCUAACAAUAUUCUGCUAUCCUCAUAGCCUGGUGACUCCCCCAGUUGUCAUCAGAGAGCCGUCAUCCAGUAACUGAUGGAAACAGGUGCAGAGACCCACAGCCAAGCCUUGCACUAAGCUCGGAGAACCCCCCUGAAGAGUGGAAGGAAGGACUGUAAGAGCAGGGGUCAAGGUCAUAACAAGGGAACCUACAGAAACAACUAACCUGCCCUCAUAGCAGCUCAGAGUCUGGACCAACGACAGUCAGGAAGCCUGAAGGACCUACCUAGGCCCUCUACAUGGACACGCGGAACUUCUGCUUCUUCACACUUCCGUGGAGCGCAGGCACGAUAACUAAGCAUCCCCGCACUCAGGGUCCCUCCUCACAGACACUCCAGUCACUUGGCUCCCGUCUGCUUGUGAGUAUUUGCAGAAAAGUCUGAUGGAGCCUGCAUCGGGAGUGAGGUCUUGGAGGAGGCCAAGGUAGAAGGAUCUUAGAUUUGAGUCCAUCUUGGGCUACACAGAAGAUCCGGUCUCAAGAAGAUUUGAUACUAAAUAGAAUUCAACAACAGUGAAUGUGGAUAAAAAGAAAGCCGUGCUGCUGAGGACAGGUACGGAAAUCGCUGCAGCCACCUUGGAAAGGGUCUGGUGGUCAUAUGGAAAACUGCAACAAGAGUUACUCUAUGACUCAGCAACCCCACUCUGCAUCCAUACAGCCAGAGGAAACGGGAAUCGGGAUCCUGAGAUAUCACUGAUUACUGCAGCGGUACCCACAAUGACCAAGCCAUGGAGUUCACUGUGUGUCCUGUUCAAGACCACGCCCUGAACCACACCUUUUUUUUUUUCUUUUCUGACAUCUACACAAACAAACUUGCAGUUAAGUUCAAGGAAAGAUGUUAACUCAGCUAUGCCGGGCAGCCCUUGUCCUUUCGGGACACCGCCUGUCUCCCCACAUCAGCAUCUGCCUGCCCCUCCCAAAUGGCUUAGUUGUUAAACCGACCUGAAUGAAGGGCGUAGUUUUCAAGCUAAAGAUUUGGGGUGAAAUGACACUCUUUUUCCCCUAAAGUGAUAUGUACACAUGCUAACGGAAGACACAAAACAUAACGAAGCAUUGUACAAUAUAGAAAUUCAAGAAUUAAAUCUCCUGUUCCCCAACAUUUCUCAUUCUGGUUCCUUGCUCCAUUUAGCCCUCUGCUUUCUGGGUCUUUGACUGGCUUCUCCCUGUAGGCUUGUGACUUACCUACGAGGAAUUUGGAAGCUGAGUAAGGAAAUGAAAGCAGUCCAGGUUUAUUUCAUUAUGAUCAGA